rfam:Pseudoalteromonas tunicata D2 scf_1099591001457 genomic scaffold, whole genome shotgun sequence.
CAAGUCCCUGUCGGGUAAGGUUUAACUCACCACCCGUAUCGAGUGUUGCGCCUAUGGCGGAGCUGUUUUUUUUUUUCAGCGAACAAGAUAGGUGAAGCGUACACAGAGAAUUAAGUAGGCCACAGGGGAUCCGUGUCCCUGAAGUGCUGAGAUCGCUCCGAUAAAUACAGUCUGACUGACGAGGUUUGUAACGCCACUGAAGUCCAAGCAAAGCAACCGUAAUGAGUGAGGUUGUGGCGAGUCAGCGGAGUUAUUAAGCC